rnacentral:rRNA from 1 species
AUGGAUGAUAUUUGGAGCUCGUCCUCGUCAUCUGAGUCGGAUGAUUCUGACAUAGAAGAGAUGAUUUUUUACGACGAUCUCGAGCAUCCUUUUUUGGUGCACCUUGUUGACAAAUUUGAAGCCAGCAAGAAGAAGAGGCAUCGCGCUUCGACGGUCAGCCGGCUUUGCAUUCCACGCAACCAAGCUCUCGGUCACAAGUUGCUCAUGAGAGACUACUUUGCUAAGGUACCAACCUACCCGGAUCAUCUCUUCCUUUGGCGUUAUCGAAUGUGUAUGUCUCUUUUUGUUCGCAUUGUGGAAGCUUGCAAACAAAAUUGUCGGUUCUUCACUCACCAAAGAAGCCGGUCUGCUAGGAUUUAA